rnacentral:rRNA from 1 species
CUCAAAUUUAAAAUCUGGUGGUCUUUACGGCCAUCCNAGUUGUAAUUUAGAGAAGCGUCUUCCGCGCUGGACCGUGCACAAGUCUCCUGGAACGGAGCAUCAUAGAGGGUGAGAAUCCCGUCUUUGGCACGGACGCACCAGGGCUUCUGCGAUGCGCUCUCGAAGAGUCGAGUUGUUUGAGAAUGCAGCUCAAAAUGGGUGGUGAACUCCAUCUAAAGCUAAAUAUUGGCGAGAGACCGAUAGCGAACAAGUACCGUGAGGGAAAGAUGAAAAGCACUUUGGAAAGAGAGUGAAACAGUACGUGAAAUUGUUGAAAGGGAAACGCUUGAAGUCAGUCNCGUCGGCCGAGACUCAGCCUUGCCUCGGCUCGGUGUAUUUCUUGGCCGACGGGUCAGCGUCAAUUUCGCUCCUUGGAUAAUGGCGAGGGGAACGUGACACCUUUCGGGGUGUGUUAUAGCCUCUCGUCGCAUGCGAGGGACGAGAUUGAGGAACUCAGCACGCGCCCUUGUGGCGUCKGGGCUCUGCCCACGAUACGUGCUUAGGAUGUUGGCGWAAUGGCUUUAAACGACCCGUCUUGAAACACGGACCAAGGAGUCUAACAUGCCCGCGAGUGUUCGGGUGGAAAAACCCGUGCGCGCAAUGAAAGUGAAAGUCGGGACCUUUGUCGUGGAGGGCACCGACGCCCGGACCAGACCUUCUGUGACGGAUCCGCGGWANAGCGUGCAUGUU